UCCCCAAUGAAAAAUAAUGGGAGUAAUGUGGAUGUCGUGGUGGCGCAGAGAAAUAGCGGACUGAGAGAUAUGGAUAGGAUUGGAGCUGGACUGGACCAGACCCCUAUCCGAGCCUGGUCCAAAAUAAUUUUUCAGGCUUUGAGCUGGGCUUAGGCCUGAUUUUUUUGAAAAAACAUCGGCCUAAGCUCAGAUUUGAGCCCGACCUGAGCCCAAUUGGACUAACCCAACGCCCUCAUU
rnacentral:lncRNA from 1 species